UACGUAGGGGGGCAAGCGUUGUCCGGAAUCAUUGGGCGUAAAGCGCGUGUAGGCGGCUCGGUAAGUCCGCUCUGAAAGUCCAGGGCUCAACCCUGGGAUGCGGGUGGAUACUGCCGGGCUCGAGUCCGGAAGAGGCGAGUGGAAUUCCCGGUGUAGCGGUGAAAUGCGCAGAUAUCGGGAGGAACACCAAUGGCGAAGGCAGCUCGCUGGGACGUGACUGACGCUGAGACGCGAAAGCGUGGG
rnacentral:rRNA from 1 species